AUGUUAGUUAAUAUUUCCAGUUGCAUUCAUUUGGACCAAUCAGAGCCAAUCUUUUCAAAACAAGCUUGCCGGCAAUCGUCCAAUCACACACUGCCAUUUGAACUUACAUGUUGGGCGGGGCGCGGACAACGGAUACUGACUGUCUGUGGUAUUCCAUUAUAGCUUCGGACGGAUAUCUCAACAGAAAUCAUGUAUUUUCCAAAUUUUGCUUUGUUAUUUCACUGACUCGGACCUAGUGAAUGUGGAUAGCACCGAUCUAAUAUUAAGAGAAACACACGAGCAGAUUACCAGGUCGUCAGCUCCCGCGAACAAUUUAGCAGUGAAGAGGACAACGCAGAGCUGCGCCGCCACGACAUGGACAGAGCAAGAUACUGCCAGAAAAGAUCUUACUUCUUGGUGAGCUUCCAGGGAUACUAUCAUCUCUCAAAGAGGCCCUGGAGUCCAUGAAACGAGGUUCAUUCAGCUCAAGCCCAAGAUCAUCUGAGCUGUGUCUUCCUGAAACCUCAGACAUGAUUUCCCUCGGUGGUUCUGAUGUCCCCAAAAGAGUCUAUGGCAGACUGAACAAGUCACGAACUUCUCUUUUUACUCACGACUUGGCCACUUUACUUUUUGCUAUUGUAUUUCACUUUGUUUGACUUAAAGGAUUAGUUCACUUAAAAAAAAAAAAAAAACUUUUGCUGAUAACUUACC